GUCUACGGCCAUACCACCCUGAACGCGCCUGAUCUCGUCUGUUCUCGGAAGCUAAGCAGGGUCAGGCCUGGUUAGUACUUGGAAGGGAGAAAGGUGGUAUGAAAUUCUACGGAAGACAGAAUUUGCUGGAUU
rnacentral:rRNA from 1 species